CAUUUAAUAUCUUUUGUUAAUUUCAAAUUGCUUCAUUUAUUGUUUUUUAUUAAUUAACCAGAUUUUUUCGGGUUUCUUUUGUUUGUCUUUUUCUUCAAUUUUGUGUCCUCUUUAAUGUGUUUAAACUGUUACUGUCACGGUUAAGCUUUGAUUGUAAAAUUACUUACAAUUAUUUUGACUUAAACAGCUCAAUCUUUUUGGUAGCAUUUUUAUAUAAUCUACCUUUUGUGAAGUGUAACCAUUCGGUUAAUCCGAUCUAAUAAGGUUUGGAAAAGGUUGAAAUUUACUCAGAUGUGUUACAAGACAAUAUUGACUAUGAUAUACUCGAGGUAAUUGGAUUGGUUAACCUGACUGCUGUAAUAAUAGGCCUAAUUAUUAUUGGAAAUAUGAUGGUGAUAAAUGUGCAUGUUGGUGGUGUAAGCAGUCAUUUAAGCCACUAUAGAUUGUAGCUAAAUGGAUUUUUCAGACUGAUGAGCAAAUUAAGGAUUUUCAUGAACAGGAAUCUAGAUAUUAACGAUGAUGCUAAGCAUAUGGAUGGAUAUUGAAACGUGAAAUAAUUGCCGAGAAAAACAUCAAGAGCUUAAAUAUAAGCUUGAUAUUUAUCCAAUGAUCAAAUAUGCUCAUAAUCUCCGACAAUCUUUGAUUAAAGUUCCAGGAAAAUAUGAAUCAAACGGAACCAUGUUAAAUUUGGUUUAAGAAAACAGGAUUUGUAGGAGGAUCAAUUUUUUCUUUUCCAAGAUUAAUCAAUUUCUUUGACAAUUUUCUUGUCAUCCUAUCCAUCGGCAUCCAUUCAAGCUUUCAACUUGUUGAAUGAAUACAUUUUUUGGAUUUCAAAGUAUGGAAUGGCUGAAUAAUAAACUUCCAGAUGAGUCAGAGUAAUUAUCAUUUACCAAGAUUAGUUGAAAUUGAGAUGAAAAUAAUGGUGAUGCCGAAUUAUUGAUAACCCAAAAGAAGAAAAGCCAAAAAAGGAAAAUACUGGAAUAAUGAAACUACAGGAGAUUUCGCCAUUUUCAGGAUCAAUUUCAUUAUAUUCUAUUGUCAAUUUAUAUAAAUAUAUAUAUAUUUAUAUUGUUGAAAGACAGAAGAUGGCCAAAAAGGGAAACUAAAUAGCUAAUGUUGAUGAUAAAGAUUCAAGGAUGUCAAUGAAUCUUUGGUUGCAACUUUGAUACACACACAGAGACACACAUUGAAAAUUACUCAACUCAUAUUUCAAAUUAAGUGUCCCAUUGGAGAUUAUUUUAUUUGACAUUUUCACUCAUAAAAUAAUAAUAAUACAAAAUAAUAUAAAUGUUGUCCAGUUAUUGCUGAUCCAUUCAAGUUGGAAAUUUUUUCUCUUCUCAAGGAAACCUGGUCAUCUUGGCCAUUUAUGGACACAAUCAAAAUGACUUUUCUCAUUAAACAAUUCCCAAUGAAAAUGUUUCAACCCCAAUUUGGUGAGAUUGAAAAUUUAACCACUUUAAAGUAACCUUACAAACUGGAAUGGACAUCAAGACGAUCGCAAUAUUGCUCUGUUUACGAUUGGAAAUUUUGCAAUGGAAAAAGAUGAUUUGAUUCGGAAAAUUUCAACUCAUCAAUUAUAUUGAUAAAUGUAAAGAUCAGAGGUGCUUAACCAAUUAUCAUGAGAAAUGGUGAAACCAAUACUGAGCCAAAUUCAAUAACUGUGAGCUGAUAUCAACUAAAAUGGAUGUAAAUCAAGGAAUGAAACAUUUUACCUUUGUUUCUCAAUAUGUUGGAGAUUGGCUGAUGAAGAUGAAGAGAAAAAGUUAACUCCAAGAAAGCAGAUUAACUAAAUGAAUUGUGUUAAUAGUUAUUUUACUCAACUUUUUCACUCAUUUAUUUUAAUGAGUAAAAUGGGUUUUCAUGGUAAGCUGAUUGGAUAAACAAUUGACAUGAUAAUAACCCUGAGCAACAUGAAUAAUAAUAAUAAAGGUUUGUAAUGAGACGACCAGAAAAAAAGGUUUUAGGUGAAAAAAAGUGAUUGUCAAAGUGAAUGGAAUCAAAAUUUAUUUUUGGGUAAACUUUAGAUUGAUUGUUGAAGCUCAAAAUGAAUGAGCACAUUGAAUACAAAUUCAGGAUUGAAGAUGAACGGACAGCAAAAAGGUGAAGAAGGAAAAGAAAAGGAGAGAAAAAAAAGAGUUAAACUUGAGGUUACUUGAAAUGCAUGACCAGAGGAGAAACAAUUUAUGUUUAACCUUAAUUGAGGUGGACAUUAGGAUUAACAAUUAACCGAUGGCAAGGUAAAUGAGCGAAUUUGAAAUUUACAUAAAAAGAUUGACAAGCAAAAUGGCGAAGAGAAAAGACGAAGAGAAAAAAAAUGUCAAAAGAGUUGAUUAUUGAAAUGAAAUAAUCAAAUGAUGUUGAUGUGAACGUGAUCAAGAUAAUCAUCUAAACCUUGAUUAAGACUCGAGCUUUUUUGGUUACUUUUGUCUUCUGCUUUUUUGUAUUCUGACCCUCUUCAUUGUUGAUUCAAUUCUCAAUUCUGUUGAUUACUUUUCAUUGGAAACAUUUUCAUUAAUUUGAAGUUCACUGGUCAAUCUACUUUAAUUGACUUACCUUUUUUAAAGCAAUUUUAUUUACUUUUUUCAUUUCAACCCUUUUUUUCACCUUUCACUCCAUUCUUGAUCAUUUAUUUCUAUUCUUUCAACUGUAAACAUGGAAAUGAAAAAUAUUCAGUUGACAGAUUGAAAUUGAAUGCUGUGAGUGAGUGAACAGCAAAAUUACAGCAAAAAAACAGAGUCAAAAGAUUCAAAUGGUUCAGGAAAAGGUUAACAAUUAGUUUGCUUGGUUCGGUUGAGAUGAAAAUUCAACUUUUUUUUAAUUAACACUAAAUAUUGGAGUAUUUUUCAUUUCGUAAUGAAUUGCAAAUUAACAUUUAACUUUAAUUUUUACCUUUCAUCUUCUCCUAUUUUCCCAUUAUCAUUAGUCUUUGUUGUAGCUUCACCUUUCAUCAUUGCCAUCUUCAUCAUCUUUCAGUUUCUGUUUUUUUCUUCCUCUUCUUUCGCCCAUUUUCUUGUUCAUCUCAUGUUUGAUUAGUUUGAUUUAACUUGAUUACAUUUGAUCUUUACAUCUAUUAUUUUAAUCAGUCAACAUCCAUGACAUUCACAACUUGAUGUAAGUGUCUAUUUUUUGUCUUCUCUUUUUUUCUGUCUUUCUUUCUCUCUUCUUCUCUCUGUCUUUUCCUCUUCCUCAUCUUCUUCUUGCUUCACCAUUUUGCUUGUUGUCAUGUUUCUUGUUGUACCUUUUGUAUUGUAUUGAUGACUACUUGACUUGUUUAUUUGUUGUUACCUUUUUGUCCUUACAAGAGUUGUAAGUUUCACUCAAUUUAAACUUUAUAUUUACUUUGUUUUGUUGCCUUUUUUCAUAUCAUUUGACACUUUUUCAGUUCAACAAAACAAUACUCAUUGAUGUAUUGUUUGUGGCCAAUAAAUGAUCAUUUUACUAUAUUAAAGUUUCUCUUCUCAAGGCAAAUCAAAAUCAAAUUAGAAACAUGGAAAUUCAAGAUUUUAAAAUCAUUUGAAAUUCAAAAAAAUUGGAAACCUGAAAACUCGAAAAAAGAUUUGUCCAAUUUUUCGUUGAAAAGUAUUUUUUAAGCAAAGAUUUUUGUUUUUUAUUGAGCUUAAUAUGAAUUUUCGAGUUUUGGAUUCAUUGAAGAGAAUUGAUUUCUGAAUAUUUUGUUAUUGAAUGUUAUAUGAAGUGAUCUGUUCAAUUGAAUAAAUUAAUGGAAUGAGUCAGGUUUAAUUGAAUAAAGAAAAGGAUUUAAGGUUGACUUUGAAUAUUUUAUUGGAUAAUAAUUCUUGAUAAAUUUCAAUAUUAGGUGACAAUAUUGAGUUUUGUGAGUUUCAAUUUGAUUCAGAGAAACUCUCAAGAGGAACAUAAUUCUUGAAUUGACUUUGACUGGACAUAAUUGUUGUGAUGAUGAAGAAGAUGAAGAUGAUGAUGAUAAUGAUGGUAAAAUGGAAGAAGAAAAAGGGAUUUUUCUUGUUCUUCCAGGUUGUUGAUGUUUUAAAAAAGAUUUAUUAUAAAGGGUUGAGAGAUGAUGUUUAUUGAAGCAUAAAGAGUUGAAGCGUGUUGACCUUUGGCUAUAUAACAAGGUAUAAUCAGUGUUGGUUGUCCACUGAAAGUGAAUGGACAAUGUCCAGUUAUAAAUGGAGAAAGUGAAUGUUCCGUUGUGAUAAUAAUUCCCUGAAUGCAGAUGAUAUACUUUUUAUGGAUAAAUUGAUGGCCAUUAUUUAGAUUGAAUGUUGUAAGGGUCAAAGGCUAAUAACAAUAAUAAAUAUAUUAACAAUAAAAAUAAAUGAAUAACAAUAAUGACGAUAAAGAGCAACAGUAAGAAGAGAAAAUAAUUUUUAGCUUUUUAAAUCAACUUUGCUGGACACAUUUUCCUAAGUGUUGACCAAUUUCAUUCUCAAAAAAAGUCUUUUCUAAAAGUGAUUAUCCAAGUUGACCACAAGACAUCAAUAAAGAGUUGAUUUUA